rnacentral:rRNA from 1 species
UACGGAGGAUGCGAGCGUUAUCCGGAUUUAUUGGGUUUAAAGGGUGCGUAGGCGGUUUUUUAAGUCAGCGGUAAAAUGUCCGGGCUCAACCCGGGCCGGCCGUUGAAACUGGUUUUCUUGAGUGAGCGAGAAGUAUGCGGAAUGCGUGGUGUAGCGGUGAAAUGCAUAGAUAUCACGCAGAACUCCGAUUGCGAAGGCAGCAUACCGGCGCUCAACUGACGCUCAUGCACGAAAGUGUGGGUAUCGAACAGG